rnacentral:snRNA from 1 species
GUUCUCACUUCAGCAGCACAUAUACUAAAAUUGGAAUGAUACAGAGAAGAUUAGUAUGGCCUCUGUGCAAGGAAGAUAUACAAAUUUAUGAAGUAUUUUUAAAAUAA